rnacentral:lncRNA from 1 species
AUGAAGGCUCCACUCCCAGGUGACUUGAAGGAAUUUCUUCUAUUUUUUUAAAUGAACAUUUUAUUGGAGUACAACAUAUGUGUAGAAAAGUAUACAAAUCAUUAAGUAUACAGUUAGCCCUCUGUAUCCAUGGGUUCCACAUUUGUGGAUUCAACCAACUGUGGAUUGAAAAUAUUUUUUAAAAAACAUUAAAAAAUAACAAUAUAGCAAUAGAAACACACAAAAAAUACAGUAUAAGAGCUAUUUACUCAACAUUUACAUUGUAUUAGGUAUUAUAAUUUAGAGAUAAUUUAAGUCACAUGGGAGGAUGUGCAUAGAUUACAUGCAAAUACCACACCAUUUUAUAUCAAGGACUCGAGCAUCCUCAGAUUUUGCUAUCUGCAGGGGGUCCUGGAGUCAAUCCCCCAUGAAUACCAAGGGACAACUAUAUAUAGUCUGAAGAAUUUAAAUGAAAAAACCAUCUUACAAGCCCACAAAAAAACAAAAUCCAGAACAGAGCCAUCACUCUGCAGAUCCUAUGAAGGCAAGUUGCUAGUUCCUGGGGCUAGGCACAAAGACAGGAUUGGUGGGGAGUGGAGCUCCACUGCCACUUUCCUGCUGAGUGACUGUGACCUCUCAGGAUCAUGAUUGUGAGGAGAGUAUCCACUAUGGAAAGCCACUGUCCAGAGAGCCGUGGUGCUGGUGUAAGCCCUGGGAGAGGCCCUGUGAGGAGAGGCCUCUAUUCUGAGGCACACUCAAAGGGCCCUGGAGGCAGGUGCAGUGGCUCAAGCCUGUAAUCCCAGCACUUUGGGAGGCUGAGGUGGCAGGAUCGCUUGAGCCCAGGAGUUCAAGACCAGCCUGGGCAAUGUGACAAAAGCUGGUCUACAAAAAAUACAAAAAUUAGCUAGGGGUGAUGCUAUGUGCCUAUAGUCCCAGUUGCUUGGGAGACUGAGGUAGGAGGAUCAUCUAAGCCCAGGGAGGUUGAGGCUUCAGUGAGUUAUGAUUGCACCACUGCACUCCAGCAUGGGCAACAGAGUGACACCCUGUCUCAAAACAAAACAAACAGGGUCCCCUGGAGCCCCACCUCACAGAGUCUGUGCUGAGGAGGGAAAAGUGAAGCUACCAACCAGGGAAAGGCAGGCCACCAAAGGUAGCUGAGGGCCUGGCUUGAGAUGAGGGGCAGACAAUCCCCCAUGCUCUAACCUAUGGGGGUGGCCCCAGAAGGGUUACCUGAGUGAGCGGAGGGGAUGUGGAGUCAGAGGGAGGAGGGGUCAGCAGGGAGAGUCGCUGCCAGCUACGGCGGGGUCCUCCUAUGGAGGGACAGGCUGAGGUGGGAGGAUACUAGCAAGCACAGGGAACUCAGAUCAGUUUACUCCAGCAGUCACUAAUGGAGUCCCUGUUCUGUGCCUGGCAUCAUGCUAAGCACUGAAGAGAGAGUGCUGAGGCAGACAUGUGGUCUCCACCUCAAGGAACAUCACUCAGUUGGAGGGAGGUCUGCAGCCUGCCCUGCCCUCUACAGCCAGGCCCCUGCCCAUGUAACUGAUGAUGCCAGAGGGCGAUGGGAGGCAGUAACGCAUGGGGUGAGAGCCAGAGCUCAGCAACCAGACAGCCCUGGGCUCAAAUCCUGGCCUCAGCCCUGUCCAGCAGCGUGAGCCGGUGGGCAGCUUCACCCACUGAAUGUGCAUCUCCUCAUCUGUAUAAUGAACAUGAGAACACCUGCCUUCCAUACAGGUGGGUGCUCCACCAGUGGCAGGGAUUAUGACCACAGCAUCCAUUGC